rnacentral:rRNA from 1 species
GAUGAACGCUGGCGGCGUGCCUAAUACAUGCAAGUCGAGCGAACAGACGAGGAGCUUGCUCCUUUGACGUUAGCGGCGGACGGGUGAGUAACACGUGGGUAACCUACCUAUAAGACUGGGAUGACUUCGGGAAACCGGAGCUAAUACCGGAUAAUAUUUCGAACCGCAUGGUUCGAUAGUGAAAGAUGGCUCUGCUAUCCCUUAUAGAUGGACCUGCGCCGGAUUGGAUAGUUGGUAAGGUAACGGCUUACCAAGGCAACGAUACGUAGCCGACCUGAGAGGGUGAUCGGCCACACUGGAACUGAGACACGGUCCAGACUCCUACGGGAGGCAGCAGUAGGGAAUCUUCCGCAAUGGGCGAAAGCCUGACGGAGCAACGCCGCGUGAGUGAUGAAGGUCUUCGGAUCGUAAAACUCUGUUAUUAGGGAAGAACAGACGUGUAAGUAACUGUGCACGUCUUGACGGUACCUAAUCAGAAAGCCACGGCUAACUACGUGCCAGCCGCCGCCGUAA